rnacentral:rRNA from 1 species
GGGUAGUCCUGGCUGUAAACGAUGCGGGCUUUGCGUCGGCACUGCCACGAGUGGUGCCGGUGUUGAAGGGAAGCCGUUAAGCCCGCCGCCUGGGGAGUACGGGCGCAAGCCUGAAACUUAAAGGAAUUGGCGGGGGAGCACUACAACGGGUGGAGCCUGCGGUUUAAUUGGAUUCAACGCCGGGAAGCUUACCGGGGGAGACAGCGAGAUGAAGGUCGGGCUGAAGACCCUGCCGGAUUAGCUGAGAGGUGGUGCAUGGCCGUCGUCAGCUCGUACUGUGAAGCCUCCUGUUAAGUCAGGCAACGAGCGAGACCCGCGCCCGCAGUUGCCAGCAUCUCCGCAAGGAUGAUGGGCACUCUGCGGGGACUGCCGCCGCUAAGGCGGAGGAAGGAGCGGGCGACGGUAGGUCAGUAUGCCCCGAAUCCCCCGGGCUACACGCGUGCUACAAUGGGGCGGUACAAUGGGGUAUCCGACCCCCGAGAGGGGGGAGGUAAUCCCCUAAAACCGCCCGUGGUCGGGAUCGAGGGCUGAAACCCGCCCUCGUGAACGC